rnacentral:rRNA from 1 species
CUCCAGACUCCUACGGGAGGCAGCAGUGGGGAAUAUUGCACAAUGGGGGAAACCCUGAUGCAGCGACGCCGCGUGAGUGAAGAAGUAUUUCGGUAUGUAGAGCUCUAUCAGCAGGGAAGAAAAUGACGGUACCUGACUAAGAAGCCCCGGCUAACUACGUGCCAGCAGCCGCGGUAAUACGUAGGGGGCAAGCGUUAUCCGGAUUUACUGGGUGUAAAGGGAGCGUAGACGGCAUGGCAAGUCAGAUGUGAAAGCCCGGGGCUCAACCCCGGGACUGCAUUUGGAACUGCAAGGCUAGAGUGUCGGAGAGGCAGGCGGAAUUCCUAGUGUAGCGGUGAAAUGCGUAGAUAUUAGGAGGAACACCAGUGGCGAAGGCGGCCUGCUGGACGACAACUGACGGUGAGGCGCGAAAGUGUGGGGAGCAAACAGGAUUAGAUACCCCUGUA